rnacentral:rRNA from 2 species
AGUAACGGCGAGUGAACAGGGAGAAGCCCAAAUUUGUAAUCUGGCACUUUUUACAAGUGUCCGAGUUGUAAUUUGUAGAACUGUUAUCCGUGCUGGACCAUGUACAAGUCUGUUGAAAAGCAGCAUCGUUGAAGGUGAAAAUCCUGUAAAUGAUAUGGACUACCAGUACUUUUGUGAUACGGUUUCUAAGAGUCGAGUUGUUUGGGAAUGCAGCUCAAAGUGGGUGGUAAAUUCCAUCUAAGGCUAAAUAUAAGUGAGAGACCGAUAGCAAACAAGUACCGUGAGGGAAAGAUGAAAAGAACUUUGAAAAUAGAGUUAACAGUACGUGAAAUUGCUGAAAGGGAAACGUUUGAAGUUAGUUUUGUAUUCGUUGGAUCAGCUUCGCAAGGAGUGUAUUCUGAUGAUAAGCAAGUCAACAUCAGUCUAUGAGUGUUGGAGAAGGGUUUUGAGAAUGUAGCAAUUUAAUUGUGUUAUAGCUUGAGACUUGGAUACGAUGCUUUGGAUUGAGGAACGCGUAGUAAGC